GAAGGUGGCAAGCGUUGUUCGGAAUCAUUGGGCUUAAAGCGCGCGUAGGCGGACUGGAAAGUGUCUUGUGAAAACCCUCGGCUUAACCGAGGAAUUGCUUGGCAAACUAUCAGUCUUGAGGCAAGUAGGGGUACAUGGAACUCUUAGUGGAGCGGUGGAAUGCGUAGAUAUUAAGAGGAACGCCAAUGGUGAAGACAGUGUACUGGGCUUGUACUGACGCUGAGGUGCGAAAGCGUGGGGAGCGAACGGGGGAUUAGAUACCCCGGUAGUCCACGCCGUAAACGAUGUCUGCUAGAUCGUGGGAGUUCUGACACUUUCACGGUCGAAGCAAAAGUGAUAAGUAGACCGCCUGGGGAUACGGUCGCAAGGCUA
rnacentral:rRNA from 1 species